UGCAUGUUCCUUUGUACUUCUGUUCCCUUAAUGUGUGCCAAUAGUUUUCAUCAACUCACUCUUUUUGGUAUGAAACAUUUGUGACAGAUUUUCAUUCUGCAACCUGAUUGCUGCAUGCUAAGUUUUGCUCUGAACUGUAUGCAAAUAUUCCUCUUCCUCUUUAUUUUAGUAUUUAGAGGAAAAGAAACAGAUUGCUCUCUCAUUUCUCACACCAUGGUCUCCUCAUCUCUCUUGCUGUUUCUGCUGCUAGCAGCAGUCUCUCGUGUCCACUGUGUUGAACUGACCCAGACUGAUUCUGUGGUCUUAAGGCCUGGUCAGGUUUUGACUCUGUCCUGUAAGAUCUCUGGAUAUUCAUUGACUGACAGCAGCUACUGCACUGGCUUCAUACGACAGGCUGCAGGAAAAGCUCUGGAAUGGGUCGGAGAGAUAUGUGGUGAUGGUAACACAUAUUACAGCGAUAAACUGAAAAGUAGAUAUCAAGUUAGCAGAGACACUUCCAGCAGCACAGUGACUCUACAAGGACAGAAUAUGCAGACUGAGGACACAGCUGUGUAUUACUGCGCCAGAGAGUCACAGUGACACAAACCACAAGCAGCUUUGUUCAAAAACAUCUUGAAUGAAAAGAAUAAGAGAAAGUCCCCAUAUAGGAAUACAAAAAUAACUUUUCAAAUGUUUUUUUUUCGUUUUUUUCUGAAUGACAUAAUUUAUUUAUUUUUUAUAUUGUACAAGUGUGAAACAUCAGUGUUUUCCAGUCAAACAAAAAUUUGAGAAAUGAGCUGCAGACCUUUCUCUGUUGGUGUAACCCUGCUGUAACCUAAGACAAGUGGGUUCAAUUAGAUUAAAUAACAUUUUUGACUUAAAUGCAACUAGUUCA